GUACGGGAGGCAGCAGUGAGGAAUUUUGGUCAAUGGGGGAAACCCUGAACCAGCGACGCCGCGUGUGGGAUGAAGGGGCUUUGCCCUGUAAACCACUGUCGGAAGGGAAGAAAAGUCCCCUUUGGGGACUGGGACUGUACCUUAAAAGGAAGGAUCGGCUAACUACGUGCCAGCAGCCGCGGUAAUACGUAGGAUCCAAGCGUUGUCCGGAUUUACUGGGUGUAAAGGGUGCGCAGGCGGGCUUGUGCGUCAGAGGUUAAAUACAUCGGCUCAACCGAUGAGCUGCCUUUGAUACGGCAAGUCUUGAGUGCGAGAGAGGAUGGUGGAAUUCCUGGUGUAGCGGUGAAAUGCGUAGAUAUCAGGAGGAACACCAGUGGCGAAGGCGGCCAUCUGGCUCGCAACUGACGCUCAGGCACGAAAGCGUGGGGAGCAAACAGGAUUAGAUACCCUGGUAGC
rnacentral:rRNA from 1 species